ACGCCGGUGGUGUAAUGGUAACAUGGGAGAUUCCAAAUCUCUUGAUGAGGGUUCGAUGCCUUCCCGGCGUGCCA
rnacentral:tRNA from 1 species